GACAGUCCUUGUCCUACAGAAGCCAUGGCACUUAUUCUCUCCCUGGGGAGAGUGUUGGUGGAGCCAAUGGAGUAGAUGGGCAAGCUGGAAUAAGAACUGGCAGGUGUAGGACCAGGUGAAGAAGGAAAACCUUUUGGCUCGACAACAGAAGCAAAGCUGCAACAGAAAUAUAGAGAUCGCAGUAAAUAUAAAGAAGAUGUCUUUGUACUGCUGGAAUUUCUCCAGCUCCGCCUUCACCAGCACCUGUCUGAUGUGCAUCACCUCCUCCACCGUCAGAGACAGACACUCCACAGGAAAACAGAACUCCUCCUGCAGCAACAACAAGAAUUAUACGCACAGCACUGGAAGCAGCCAUCAGAACAUGAUACACUGUGGUCAUAAG